UACAGAGGGUGCGAGCGUUGUCCGGAAUCACUGGGCGUAAAGGGCGCGUAGGCGGCCUGAUAAGUAGGGGGUGAAAUCUUGCGGCUCAACCGCAAGGCUGCCUUCUAAACUGUCGGGCUGGAGCACGGUAGAGGCAGAUGGAAUUCCCGGUGUAGCGGUGGAAUGCGUAGAGAUCGGGAAGAACACCAGUGGCGAAGGCGGUCUGCUGGGCCGUUGCUGACGCUGAGGCGCGACAGCGUGGGGAGCAAACAGG
rnacentral:rRNA from 1 species